CCUCAGCGCUGCGGGCCCAGUGAAGCCUCGCACCUGUCGCCCUCCCGCUCGUCCCCCCGCCGGCUCCCCCGUGCACUUUACACACAUGAGAGAAUUGGAAGCUAAAGCUACCAAAGAAGUUGAAAGGAAACUAAGCAGGGAUUUAGUGCAAGAAGAGGAAGAACAGUUGAU